rnacentral:piRNA from 1 species
UGAGUUUUGUGUGCAGAGUAGUAGGCCA